rnacentral:rRNA from 1 species
UACGGGGGGGGUAAGCGUUGUUCGGAAUUACUGGGCGUAAAGGGUUCGUAGGCGGUCCGUCACGUCGGGAGUGAAAACUCAGGGCUCAACCCUGAGCGUGCUUCCGAUACGGGCGGACUAGAGGUAUGCAGGGGAGAACGGAAUUCCUGGUGUAGCGGUGGAAUGCGCAGAUAUCAGGAGGAACACCGGUGGCGAAGGCGGGUCUCUGGGCAGUAACUGACGCUGAGGAGCGAAAGCGUGGGGAGCGGACAGG